CUACAAUUAGAUUCAUCAUAAUUUUAGUGCUUUAUGUAGUUGAGAUGUUUCAUGUCAUGUUAUGUCAUGUUUGCUGUUUAUGGCUCCCUGAAAGGAGGUGGGGGUUGGCCUCCCAUGUUACAGCUCUCGGAUGAGAAGUGGUGGCUUCCAGUUGCAAUGAGAACUGGUUGUGUAUUAGUGAAAAAUUCUUCUCAGAAGUGUUGAUGCACUGCCACGGGCUGCCCAGGGAUAUGGUCAUCAUCCCUGGAGGUGUUCAAGAACUGCAGUGAUGUGGUACUGAGGGACACGGUUAGCAGGCAUGGUGGAGAUGGGUUGGACUCGGUGAUCUUAGUAGUCUUUUCCAACUCAAAAUGAUUCUAUGAUUUUAUAAGGUCACGUGAAUGAAGUUCUUGAUUCUCUUUCAUUGUACCAUUUUGCCACCUAACUUUAGGGCAGAAGUCUGCACUGCCUGCAUUUGCUUGCUCUGGCAGUGAAUGCGUAAGUGGAAGUAAUAUUCAUUUCUGAAAAACAGUCAGGGAAUGGACAUUGAAGUUAAUGAAUAUCCUCUUAAGAGAUAAGUAAUAAACACCAGACUGUACAUAAUAUAUUUAGGAAGAAAUAGACUAUUAUAGUAUUCUUUCUUUUGCAUUACAUCUGUGUUCAGAUUCAUUAGCCUGAAGAUGAGGAAUGUGGGCUCUGGCCUAAGAAGAUUACAAAUCUGGAACAUGAAUUAUGACCUGGAGCAUUCUGGAAAUGGGACACUGAAACUGGACCACUCUAAACCUUGAAGUGCAGAAACUCAUGGUUUGCUGCAGUUUCUUCCUGGUAACUUUAUUAAAGGAUUAAGAAAUCUAGAAGAUUAAAGAAGAAGAGCGUGGAAUUUCUCCAGCUCAAGCUGGGCACCACUAAGCUUAAAGCAGGAACUGGACUGAGAACUUCCCACAACAGACCACGGCCUCAGCUGGUCAGCACAGCCUGACUGGAAGGACCUUCUCAGCCCCAGUGCUGCAGCACUGAGUUUCAAAAGAUUCCUGCUACAGCACAUCAUUUUAGAAAAGGAUCUGAGACUGAAUGAUGUCUUUGCUGCUCUUUGGAACAGCAGGUGUCCAUUCCCUCCCUCUCACCACACCCACAGCUGGGAAUUGCUCAGGAUGUCUGUGACAAAGAAAGCUGGAGAAAACAAGGUAAGAGUAAGGAAGGGGGAGGGGAAGGGGAAGCAUCAGCUACUGUAUCAGGUUUUGUGCUAUAUCCAGCAAUCAAAUCAGAGCAAGUCCUACCAAGAAAAUGAAGAAAAGGUUUGUUCUGAUGUCUCCUUCCUAACAUAUACAUAG
rnacentral:lncRNA from 1 species